CUCCAAAUUCAGCUGUGCUGUACUAGAAUUUCGAAGGGACUGCAGGGCGGUAAUAGGUGAGCUGUUCCCAUCAGAGCUGGGUCCUAGCUCUGCAAAGCGGCCUUAGCCCGGGUAAUGACUUCAUUACAUACCAGCAUCAAUGUACCAUCAGCUUAACUGCUUGAUGGUCAUUUGCAGCUCUGAUAACUUUCUUCCCAGCAAGAGUGUUCCUUUCACGCUGGUGCUUUUCAAAUGAAGCUCAGUUUGAGUAAAGAUGAAAUGGUCUGUUGAAAUGGAAGCUCAUGGUAGAUCAUUCGUUCUGAACUGACCAGAUACAGGAGGAGGGAGGAGAAGAUGGUGGCGCGACGCAGCACGCGUGGCUGUUCCGAAUGAUAUCGUAUGUGUAACUAGGGGCCAUGCACAAUCCUGAUUUGAUGGAGACAGCCGUGAGAAGCACGGAGGAACACCUGGAGAAACUUCUGAAAUGCCCCCUUCGCUGCUGCUGCUACUGUGCGAUCGAGAAUCUCCGGAGGGGAAGGCCCCAAAUCCUCAGCUUUGCCUAUUGUCUGUUACCGGGGCCGGGGUCGAAGCGCUCGGCAGAGAUGGUGCUCGGUGCUCGGUGUCAGAGGGCUGGUCAGAGGCUCGGAGUUUUCGGACGAACUCGGAGUCGGACUGUGGUCGGAUGCUUCCAGGAUGCUGCAUCGGCAAGUUUGCGGCGCUGGAGGUUCACCGCCUGCAUGAGAUGAUGGGACUUUCGAGAGACUUUGAGACUUUUUACCGUGCCCAUGGUCUGUUCUUUAUCAAAUUACGGUAUUGCUUUGCACUGUUGUAACUAUAUGUUAUAAUUAUGUGGUUUUUGUCCGUUUUUCAGUUGGUUUGUCAUGUGUUUCUGUGAUAUCAUUCUGGAGAAACAUUGUAUCAUUAUUAAAUGACAAUAAAAGAGGACUGCGUGUCCUCAUAAUCUAAUCUAAUCUAAUAUUUAAUUGGAGUUGGAACAGGAUCUGCCCACAGGAAAAUAAUGAUUGAAUAUUACCAAAGUAUCAUGGAAGAGGGUUGAUCAAGAGUAGCUGUGUCAGUGACAGAUUAUUGAUGGAUGCAUUUGCAAAAGGCUUGUGCUUCACCAACACUUUUAAUUAUCAGCUGCCACCAACAAAAUGAGACACAGAAUCAUUUAAAGUAGAAGCAGCCAGGGCCAAUUGACCCUGGGAGCCCUCUCUGUCACUCAGUAGAACCAGGGCUGAUCAUCCUGGUCCUGCUGAAAGCCUAUAUCCUUUCACUUCAAACUGCUUCUGGAAUGGACUGAGUGGUUUGCCUCAACUGCUCUCUGUGGAAGAGAAUUACAUACGUGCAUCACUCUGUGGAAGAUUUUCUCCUCAUUUCAUUAGUAAGAGGCCUAUUCUGUAUUUUGAGGCUGUGACUCCUGAUUUUGGACUUCUCCACCAUCAGGAACCUGUGCUCACCUCUCUUUCAUUUUUCUAAACUAAGGAGUGUAAGCCCAGUCCCUUAGGUAAUUCUGUCCCGCUAGGAAAUAGUCCAUUGAAGCCCUGUUGCGCUCCCUCCUCAGAUAAGGAGAUCAGACCUGCACUCAGGCCUCAAGGCCUGGCCUGCCUUCCCCUUUGUGGCAUCAACAUGGCCGAGACAUUAGAGUCAUAACUUAGUCAUUAGUUUAUAACCAUUAGAGUGUAUUUGACAUGCAUUUACCCAUCUACUCAUCUAAACAUAAAUCACUGUAUAGGCUCGGUGUCCUCACAGAUUACUGCUCCACCUAGCUUUGUGCUGCCCUUAAAGCUGAAGGUAUUAAUGACAUUACCUCAUCUAAGGUUUUGGCACUAAUCCUACAGUAACAUUUAUGAUGACUUGGGCCACGUUGCACUACAAUGGAUCUUUUGUUUUGUUCUAAUUAUGUCUUUCUUUUAGAAUUUUGUACAAUAUGUGUUUAUGUUUUUCUUGUGACUUUUAACAUCUAAUGCUAUGUGUCUGUGAUGUUGCUGCAAUUAAGCACCUCACUGGCUUUUGCAUAAAUGUAUUUGUGCAUAUGACAAUAAA